ACUCCUACGGGAGGCAGCAGUGGGGAAUAUUGGACAAUGGGCGAAAGCCUGAUCCAGCCAUGCCGCGUGUGUGAAGAAGGCCUUUUGGUUGUAAAGCACUUUAAGCGAGGAGGAGGCUACUUGGAUUAAUACUCUAGGAUAGUGGACGUUACUCGCAGAAUAAGCACCGGCUAACUCUGUGCCAGCAGCCGCGGUAAUACA
rnacentral:rRNA from 2 species